CCUACGGGAGGCAGCAGUGGGGAAUAUUGGACAAUGGGCGAAAGCCUGAUCCAGCCAUGCCGCGUGUGUGAAGAAGGCCUUCGGGUUGUAAAGCACUUUCAGUGGGGAAGAAAGCCUUGGGGCUAAUACCCUCGAGGAAGGACAUCACCCACAGAAGAAGCACCGGCUAACUCCGUGCCAGCAGCCGCGGUAAUACGGAGGGUGCGAGCGUUAAUCGGAAUUACUGGGCGUAAAGCGCGCGUAGGCGGUCUGAUAAGCCGGUUGUGAAAGCCCCGGGCUCAACCUGGGAACGGCAUCCGGAACUGUCAGGCUAGAGUGCAGGAGAGGAAGGUAGAAUUCCCGGUGUAGCGGUGAAAUGCGUAGAGAUCGGGAGGAAUACCAGUGGCGAAGGCGGCCUUCUGGACUGACACUGACGCUGAGGUGCGAAAGCGUGGGUAGCAAACAGGAUUAGAUACCCUAUAGUC
rnacentral:rRNA from 1 species